rnacentral:rRNA from 1 species
AACGAACGCUGGCGGCGUGCCUAACACAUGCAAGUCGAACGAGAAAGGGGGCUUCGGCUCCGAGUAAAGUGGCGCACGGGUGAGUAACACGUAGGUAACCUGCCUCUAAGAUUGGGAUAACUUGUCGAAAGAUGAGCUAAUACCAAAUAAGACCACGGUUCCCUCGGGGACAGAGGUCAAAGGUAGCCUCUAUUUAUAAGCUAUCGCUGAGAGAUGGGCCUGCGUACCAUUAGCAGUUGGUGAGGUAACGGCUCACCAAGGCAAAGAUGGUUAGCUGGUCUGAGAGGAUGAUCAGCCACACUGGAACUGAGACACGGUCCAGACUCCUACGGGAGGCAGCAGUGGGGAAUAUUGCGCAAUGGGCGAAAGCCUGACGCAGCGACGCCGCGUGA